GUGCCGAACGGCCCGGGCCCGCGGGGACCGGGUUCCCUCCCCGGACCCGGAGGCGGUUUUGGGGGCGCCGGUUCCGGCGGCGGGCCCGGCGGA
rnacentral:tRNA from 1 species